UACGGGGGGAGCAAGCGUUGUUCGGAUUUACUGGGCGUAAAGGGCGCGUAGGCGGCCAGCGCAAGUCAGUUGUGAAAUCUCCGAGCUUAACUCGGAACGGUCAACUGAUACUGCGCGGCUAGAGUGCAGAAGGGGCAACUGGAAUUCUCGGUGUAGCGGUGAAAUGCGUAGAUAUCGAGAGGAACACCUGCGGCGAAGGCGGGUUGCUGGGCUGACACUGACGCUGAUGCGCGAAAGCCAGGGGAGCGAACGGG
rnacentral:rRNA from 1 species